rnacentral:rRNA from 1 species
UACGAAGGUGGCGAGCGUUAUUCGGAAUCACUGGGCUUAAAGCGCACGCAGGCGGAACAGAAAGUGUCUUGUGAAAUCCCCCGGCUUAACCGGGGAAUUGCUUGGCAAACUUCUGUUCUUGAGGCAAGUAGGGGUACAUGGAACUCUUGGUGGAGCGGUGGAAUGCGUAGAUAUCAAGAGGAACGCCGAAGGUGAAGACAGUGUACUGGGCUUGUCCUGACGCUGAGGUGCGAAAGCGUGGGGAGCGAACGGGAUUAGAUACCCGUGUA